AUACGUAGGGGGCGAGCGUUGUCCGGAAUGAUUGGGCGUAAAGGGCGCGUAGGCGGCCCGGUAAGUCUGGAGUGAAAGUCCUGUUUUUAAGAUGGGAAUUGCUUUGGAUACUGUCGGGCUUGAGUGCAGGAGAGGUAAGUGGAAUUCCCAGUGUAGCGGUGAAAUGCGUAGAGAUUGGGAGGAACACCAGUGGCGAAGGCGACUUACUGGACUGUAACUGACGCUGAGGCGCGAAAGUGUGGGGAGCGAACAGGAUUAGAUACCCUGGUAGUCCACACUGUAAACGAUGAAUGCUAGGUGUAGGGGGUAUCGACCCCUUCUGUGCCGCAGUCAACACAAUAAGCAUUCCGCCUGGGGAGUACGGCCGCAAGGGUGAAACUCAAAUGAAUUGGCGGGG
rnacentral:rRNA from 1 species